GGCCGCCUGGCGAAAUGGCAUCGCGUCUGACUACGAUUAACCGGAAUCAGGAGAUUGCAGGUUCGACCCCUGCGGUGGUCA